CCUACGGGAGGCAGCAGUGGGGAAUAUUGGGCAAUGGUCGCAAGCCUGACCCAGCAACGCCGCGUGAAGGAAGAAGGCUUUCGGGUUGUAAACUUCUUUUCUCAGGGACGAAGAAAGUGACGGUACCUGAGGAAUAAGCCACGGCUAACUACGUGCCAGCAGCCGCGGUAAGACGUAGGUGGCAAGCGUUAUCCGGAUUUACUGGGUUUAAAGGGCGUGUAGGCGGGAAGGCAAGUCAGAUGUGAAAACCAUGGGCUCAACCUGUGGCCUGCAUUUGAAACUGUUUUUCUUGAGUACUGGAGAGGCAGACGGAAUGCGUAGUGUAGCGGUGAAAUGCGUAGAUAUUAGGAGGAACACCAGUGGCGAAGGCGGUCUGCUGGACAGCAACUGACGCUGAGGCGCGAAAGCGUGGGGAGCAAACAGGAUUAGAUACCCGUGUAGUC
rnacentral:rRNA from 1 species